UACGUAGGGGGCAAGCGUUAUCCGGAUUUACUGGGUGUAAAGGGAGCGUAGACGGUGAUGCAAGUCAGAAGUGAAAUACCGGGGCUCAACCCCGGGGCUGCAUUGGAAACUGGCAGGCUGGAGUGCCGGAGAGGCAGGCGGAAUUCCUAGUGUAGCGGUGAAAUGCGUAGAUAUUAGGAGGAACACCAGUGGCGAAGGCGGCCUGCUGGGCUCUAACUGACGCUGAGGCACGAAAGCGUGGGUAGCAAACAGG
rnacentral:rRNA from 1 species